GAUGAACGCUGGCGGCGUGCCUAAUACAUGCAAGUCGAGCGAACGGACGAGAAGCUUGCUUCUCUGAUGUUAGCGGCGGACGGGUGAGUAACACGUGGAUAACCUACCUAUAAGACUGGGAUAACUUCGGGAAACCGGAGCUAAUACCGGAUGAUAUUUUGAACCGCAUGGUUCAAAAGUGAAAGACGGUCUUGCUGUCACUUAUAGAUGGAUCCGCGCUGCAUUAGCUAGUUGGUAAGGUAACGGCUUACCAAGGCAACGAUGCAUAGCCGACCUGAGAGGGUGAUCGGCCACACUGGAACUGAGACACGGUCCAGACUCCUACGGGAGGCAGCAGUAGGGAAUCCUCCGCAAUGGGCGAAAGCCUGACGGAGCAACGCCGCGUGAGUGAAGAAGGUCUUCGGAUCGUAAAACUCUGUUAUUAGGGAAGAACAAAUGUGUAAGUAACUAUGCACGUCUUGACGGUACCUAAUCAGAAAGCCACGGCUAACUACGUGCCAGCAGCCGCGGUAAUACGUAGGUGGCAAGCGUUAUCCGGAAUUAUUGGGCGUAAAGCGCGCGUAGGCGGUUUUUUAAGUCUGAUGUGAAAGCCCACGGCUCAACCGUGGAGGGUCAUUGGAAACUGGAAAACUUGAGUGCAGAAGAGGAAAGUGGAAUUCCAUGUGUAGCGGUGAAAUGCGCAGAGAUAUGGAGGAACACCAGUGGCGAAGGCGACUUUCUGGUCUGUAACUGACGCUGAUGUGCGAAAGCGUGGGGAUCAAACAGGAUUAGAUACCCUGGUAGUCCACGCCGUAAACGAUGAGUGCUAAGUGUUAGGGGGUUUCCGCCCCUUAGUGCUGCAGCUAACGCAUUAAGCACUCCGCCUGGGGAGUACGACCGCAAGGUUGAAACUCAAAGGAAUUGACGGGGACCCGCACAAGCGGUGGAGCAUGUGGUUUAAUUCGAAGCAACGCGAAGAACCUUACCAAAUCUUGACAUCCUCUGACCCCUCUAGAGAUAGAGUUUUCCCCUUCGGGGGACAGAGUGACAGGUGGUGCAUGGUUGUCGUCAGCUCGUGUCGUGAGAUGUUGGGUUAAGUCCCGCAACGAGCGCAACCCUUAAGCUUAGUUGCCAUCAUUAAGUUGGGCACUCUAAGUUGACUGCCGGUGACAAACCGGAGGAAGGUGGGGAUGACGUCAAAUCAUCAUGCCCCUUAUGAUUUGGGCUACACACGUGCUACAAUGAACAAUACAAAGGGUAGCGAAAUCGCGAGGUCAAGCAAAUCCCAUAAAGUUGUUCUCAGUUCGGAUUGUAGUCUGCAACUCGACUACAUGAAGCUGGAAUCGCUAGUAAUCGUAGAUCAGCAUGCUACGGUGAAUACGUUCCCGGGUCU
rnacentral:rRNA from 1 species